rnacentral:rRNA from 1 species
UACAGAGGGGGCAAGCGUUGUUCGGAAUUACUGGGCGUAAAGGGCGCGUAGGCGGCCAACUCAGUCGGACGUGAAAUCCCCUGGCUCACCACGGAAGGACUGCGUCCGAUACUGGCUGGCUUGAAAUCCGGGGAGAGGGAUGUGGAAUUCCAGGUGUAGCGGUGAAAUGCGUAGAUAUCUGGAGGAACACCGGUGGCGAAGGCGGCAUCCUGGACCGGUAUUGACGCUGAGGCGCGAAAGCCAGGGGAGCAAAGCGGGG